rnacentral:rRNA from 1 species
UACGUAGGGCGCAAGCGUUGUCCGGAAUUAUUGGGCGUAAAGAGCUCGUAGGCGGUUUGUCACGUCGGGUGUGAAAAGCCCGGGGCUUAACCCCGGGUCUGCAUUCGAUACGGGCAGACUGGAGUGUGGUAGGGGAGAUCGGAAUUCCUGGUGUAGCGGUGAAAAUGCGCAGAUAUCAGGAGGAACACCGGUGGCGAAGGCGGAUCUCUGGGCCAUUACUGACGCUGAGGAGCGAAAGCGUGGGGAGCGAACAGG